rnacentral:tRNA from 2 species
AGAAGGUAGCAUAAUUAAGUGUAUCUUGUUUACACCAAGGUGGUGGUGUCUUACCUCUUCUCU